UGUAGAUAGGGUGUCUGGAAAGGGAGGCCCCAGGACCCAUUGGGCUGGGAAUGCCAAGAGCUCUCAGGGAAGAGUGUAUCCAGGGCCUGCCUGGCCUUUUGUGCCCCACUGUGCUCGGAUACCCCCAGAGCUGGACCUGUGUCCCCGCUUUCCUUUACAGUGUGAUCAGUUUGUGGCAGAGUACGAGCCCGUGCUGAUCGAGAUCCUGGUGGAGGUGAUGGAUCCUUCCUUCGUGUGCUUGAAAAUUGGAGCCUGCCCCUCGGCCCAUAAGCCCUUGUUGGGAACUGAGAAGUGUGUAUGGGGCCCAAGCUACUGGUGCCAGAACACAGAGACAGCAGCCCAGU
rnacentral:sRNA from 1 species